GUCUACUGAGAUGAACUUGUCAAUUUGUAUUUGAGUAAAUUCUACUAAACAAAUUAUUUACAUACCUCAUUUAAUUUUGUAUAAACUAGUGUUUUAAAGAGUGAUACUUUUAAUGAAAUAUUAAUAUUGUGGAUAGCCAACUUAUAGAGUCCAAGUGGAGUUGUUCGCAAAAAUAAGUUUUUGACUUUAAAGUAUAAAGUAAAUUCUUUUCUUUAAAUUGUAAAAUGCCUAUAACUUUUUAAUUUGUAUUGAUUGAAAACAAGUGAUAUACACUAAAAAUUACGUGCUG